rnacentral:rRNA from 1 species
GCUAAAACAAUUAGAAGGUAUUCGAUGGAUGCCUUGGUACUCGUGUUAAGGACGUUAUACGUUGCGAAAAGUCAUGGGGAGAAACGUAGAAUAACUGUGAUCCAUGAAUUGCCAAAGAGAAAACUCACUUCUAAGAAGUAGAGUCAAAUAGAUUCUAUAUACUUGGUGAACUGAAACAUCUAAGUAACCAAAGGAAAAGAAAUCAAAAGAGAUUCCGUUAAUAGUGGCGAGCGAAUGCGGAAGAAGGCCUUCCUAUUUUAUAGGAGAUGCAUUGUGCACAUUAAUAGAAAAGGUUGGAAAACCUUGCCAUAGAUGGUGAUAGCCCAGUAUAGCAUAUAAGCACUUUGUAGUAGAGUAAGACGGGACACGUGAAAUCUUGUCUGAAGAUAGCAGGACCACCUGCUAAGCCUAAAUAUAACCGAGUGACCGAUAGUGAACAAGUACCGUGAGGGAAAGGUGAAAAGAACCCAGAAAUGGGAGUGAAAAGAUCCUGAAAUUGAAUACUUACAAGCAGUCGGAGUGGGUGUAAACCUAUGACGGCGUACCUUUUGCAUAAUGGGUCAGCGACUUCGUGUACGCAGCAAGCUUAAUCCGGUAGGAAUAGGCGUAGUGAAAACGAGUUUGAAAAAUAGCGUUAAGUUGCGUGUACGAGACCCGAAACUGAGUGAUCUAUUCAUGAGCAGGUUGAAGGCAUGGUAAUAUAUGCUGGAGGACCGAACCCACGUCUGUGGAAAAAUACGGGGAUGACUUGUGAAUAGGAGUGAAAGGCUAAUCAAACUCAGAGAUAGCUGGUUUUCUGCGAAAUCUAUUUAGGUAGAGCGUUAUGUAAUUCAUCAUUAGGGGUAAAGCACUCAAUGGGUACUUGGGGGGCGUAAAGCUACUUCAGGCCCAAGGAAACUCUGAAUACUAAUGAUGUUAUCAUAGCAGGCAGACUACGGGUGAUAAGAUCCGUGGUCGAGAGGGAAACAGCCCAGACCAUAAGCUAAGGUCCUUAAGUGAUUACUAAGUGGGAAAGGAAGUUAAAAGGCCAUAACAGUCAGGAGGUGGGCUUGGAAGCAGCCAUCCUUUAAAGAAAGCGUAACAGCUCACUGAUCUAAUAGCUUUUUUGCGCCGAAAAUGUAACGGGGCUUAAGUAAUCCACCGAAGCUAUGGAAGAUACUAUGUAUCUUGGUAGCAGAACGUUCUGUAGGUCGUUGAAGAUAAAACGUCAGUUUUGUUGGAGAUAUCAGAAGUGAGAAUGCUGACAUGAGUAGCGACAAGCAAUGUGGAAAUCAUUGCCACCGCAAGUUCAAGGGUUUCUGCGGAAGGUUCGUCCGCGCAGAGUGAAUCGGUCCCUAAUAAAAAGACGAAAGUCGUAUUAGAUGGGGAUCCCCAGGGAAUUUAUUUUCUGGGGUGCAUUAAUGAUGACGGAUUGUUUUUAUAUGUGUCUGUUUAACGGAUUAUAGUAGCGUAUAAAGCGAUUCCAGGAAAUAGUCUUAAUGUUAUAAACCGUACCCUAAACCGACACAGGUGAACGAGUAUAAAUGUACUAAGGUGAGUGAGAGAACAAUCUUGAAGGAACUCGGCAAAAUGGCCUCGUAACUUCGGAAGAAGAGGUACUAAUAUUAUCUAUUUAUUAGAUUUUAUUAGUGGCACAUAAUAGGGGGAAGCGACUGUUUAUUAAAAACACAGGACUCUGCUAAACCGCAAGGUGAUGUAUAGGGUCUGACACCUGCCCGGUGUUGGAAGGUUAAUGUGAUUUGUUAACGCAAAGAUCUUAAGCCCCAAUAAACGGCAGCCGUAGCUAUAACGGUUCUAAGGUAGCGAAAUUCCUUGUCGGGUAAGUUCCGACGUGCAUGAAUGGUGUAACGACUUCCCUACUGUCUCCAAGAUUGACUCAGCGAAAUUGAAUUUUCCGUGCAGAUGCGGAAUACCAAUGGUUAGACGGAAAGACCCCGUGCACCUUUACUACAUCUUUACAGUGCUAGAGAAGAUAUAAUGUGUAGAAUAGGUGGGAGCUUAUGAUACCUCGGCGCUAGCCGAUUGUGGAGGCAUCAAUGAAAUACCACCCUUUAUGUUUUCUAGAGCUAACUAUGUUAUUUAUAUGAAUAACUGGGACAUUGUAUGGUUGGUAGUUUGACUGGGGCGGUCACCUCCCAAAGAAUAACGGAGGUGCGCAAAGGUGGGCUCAAGUUGGUUGGAAACCAACUGGUGAGUGUAAUGGCAUAAGCCCGCUUGACUGUGACACCUACAAGUGAAGCAGAGACGAAAGUCGGCCAUAGUGAUCCGGUGGCGCUGUGUGGAAAGGCCAUCGCUCAACGGAUAAAAGGUACGCCGGGGAUAACAGGCUAAUAACUCCCAAGAGCCCAAAUCGACGGAGUUGUUUGGCACCUCGAUGUCGGCUCAUCACAUCCUGGAGCUGUAGAAGGUUCCAAGGGUUUGGCUGUUCGCCAAUUAAAGUGGUACGUGAGCUGGGUUUAGAACGUCGUGAGACAGUUCGGUCCCUAUCUGCCAUUGGUGCUGGAGAAUUGAGAGGAUCCGACUCUAGUACGAGAGGAUUGAGGAGGAUAUACCAAUGGUGUACCGAUUGUUGCGCCAGCAGCAUAGUCGGGUAGCUAAGUAUGGACAGAAUAACCGCUGAAAGCAUAUAAGCGGGAAUUCCACCUCAAAACAAGUUCUCCUCGAGAGCCGUGAUAGACUAUCACGUUAAUAGGUCAAAAGUGUAAACAUGGUGACAUGCAGCUAAUUGAUACUAAUAUCUCGAAUGUUUUUGUUGUUUUAGC